rnacentral:rRNA from 1 species
AUUGAACGCUGGCGGCAGGCUUAACACAUGCAAGUCGAGCGGAGCGAGGGUGCUUGCACCUUAGCUUAGCGGCGGACGGGUGAGUAAUGCUUAGGAAUCUGCCUAUUAGUGGGGGACAACAUUCCGAAAGGAAUGCUAAUACCGCAUACGCCCUACGGGGGAAAGCAGGGGAUCUUCGGACCUUGCGCUAAUAGAUGAGCCUAAGUCGGAUUAGCUAGUUGGUGGGGUAAAGGCCUACCAAGGCGACGAUCUGUAGCGGGUCUGAGAGGAUGAUCCGCGACACUGGGACUGAGACACGGCCCAGACUCCUACGGGAGGCAGCAGUGGGGAAUAUUGGACAAUGGGCGGAAGCCUGAUCCAGCCAUGCCGCGUGUGUGAAGAAGGCCUUUUGGUUGUAAAGCACUUUAAGCGAGGAGGAGGCUCUUAAGGUUAAUACCCUUGAUGAGUGGACGUUACUCGCAGAAUAAGCACCGGCUAACUCUGUGCCAGCAGCCGCCGCCGUAAC